GGCCGGGCUAGGAGGUAGGGUUACCUGCAUGCAACCGGCUGCUCCCCCCACAAAGCUGGCAGCCCCGAGAGAGCUGUCCUCCUACUCAAGAUGGAAUAGGAUGAUAGCGCCCCACCCGCUUCUCCGCAGGGCCCCGGGGGCGGGGUGUUUUCAGACCAGCUGGUUCUCCCGGAGGCAAAUGGAAAGUUUCCUUCCUGGAUGGAUUGCUGAAGUUUCAGAUUUGUCUAUCCUAAUGUGGUACUCUCCAUCCAGUUAAUAUAGGUCUUGGAAGGCAUUUGAGAAUUUUCCUAUCAGGCUUCCUGUUCCCUCUAUGUGAUUCUGUUCCAUUUACAGUGUAUUUGCCAACCUGAAGCAGUUUGUGCUGAAGUGACUCUACCUCCAAAGAGCUAUGGAUCACUGUGUUGCUGUUCUCCAAGCGUACAGGCAUUCUGGCCUUUUAACUGCGUGACACGUCUUUGAAAAAUGAGCUUUCCUCCCCUGAAUAUGAACAAAUGCCAGCCAAUUCUUCAGUUCGUGUUUAUGAACACAUCUAGUGCAGAGGACUCUGAACGAUACUGUCACAGUCUGAGACAGACUCGCCUCUCAAAUGUUCCAGGGUUGGAGACGUGCUGAUGGGUGCCAGUGGAAGCAGGGACUUCCAAAGAGGGGACUGAGUGCAUUUAAUGGUGAGGAAACAAAUAAUAGGUUAAAGGGGGGAGAAAAACCCCAAGCUGGAAACUUUUGAGCUGGACUGGUGCGUGGAGCCGCAGCCCCUUCGCCGCUAGAUGUCGCUGUGAGGCAGGAUUUCCAGGAGUUUUCAUUUUGUGCCAGCAUGGCUGAAUAUGUCGCCCACCCCUCCUCGGCCUGGCACUCAGGCAGGCAGCCCCCUCACACCUCCGCCCUCUGCCCUUUGGAGCUCAUGGAUCUGGGAGUUACUGAGCAGGCACCGCCGUUGGAGCAGCCUCCGCCAUCCCUGGAGCUGGGAGACGAGGAGGAUAUCGACUUGCCGCUGGACCCUGACGUGCCCUAUCCUGACUUGGCGCCUGUGGUGUUCUUUUGCUUGAAACAGACCACCAGCCCCCGCAACUGGUGCAUCAAAAUGAGCAGCUCACCUGUUGCAAUAUGUGAUCAAAAGGAGCUGCUUACCAAAGGGAGAACUUCAGAGAAAGCGAGUGUCAGCUGGAAUGACACGGACAGGGGCAGGGAGAAGAGAGGGGACAGACUUUUCAAAAUGUAUUCCCGCACCUUCCUGUUACUAAGUCAGUGACAG